AGAGUUUGAUCCUGGCUCAGGACGAACGCUGGCGGCGUGCCUAACACAUGCAAGUCGAGCGAUGAAGUUCCUUCGGGAACGGAUUAGCGGCGGACGGGUGAGUAACACGUGGGUAACCUGCCUCAAAGAGGGGGAUAGCCUCCCGAAAGGGAGAUUAAUACCGCAUAACAUUAUUUUCUCGCAUGAGAAGAUAAUCAAAGGAGCAAUCCGCUUUGAGAUGGACCCGCGGCGCAUUAGCUAGUUGGUGAGGUAACGGCUCACCAAGGCGACGAUGCGUAGCCGACCUGAGAGGGUGAUCGGCCACAUUGGAACUGAGACACGGUCCAGACUCCUACGGGAGGCAGCAGUGGGGAAUAUUGCGCAAUGGGGGAAACCCUGACGCAGCAACGCCGCGUGGGUGAUGAAGGUCUUCGGAUUGUAAAGCUCUGUCUUUGGGGACGAUAAUGACGGUACCCAAGGAGGAAGCCACGGCUAACUACGUGCCAGCAGCCGCGGUAAUACGUAGGUGGCAAGCGUUGUCCGGAUUUACUGGGCGUAAAGAGUAUGUAGGCGGAUAUUUAAGUCAGAUGGAAAUUCCCGGGCUUAACCUGGGCGCUGCAUUUGAAACUGGGUAUCUAGAGUGCGGGAGAGGAAAGUGGAAUUCCUAGUGUAGCGGUGAAAUGCGUAGAGAUUAGGAAGAACACCAGUGGCGAAGGCGACUUUCUGGACCGUAACUGACGCUGAGAUACGAAAGCGUGGGGAGCAAACAGGAUUAGAUACCCUGGUAGUCCAC
rnacentral:rRNA from 1 species